GACGAAGGGGGCUAGCGUUGUUCGGAAUUACUGGGCGUAAAGCGAGUGUAGGUGGUUGGGUAAGUCUGAUGUGAAAUCUCCGGGCUCAACCCGGAAAUGGCAUUGGAUACUAUUCGGCUAGAGGUUUGGAGGGGGGACUGGAAUUCUCGGUGUAGCAGUGAAAUGCGUAGAUAUCGAGAGGAACACCAGUGGCGAAGGCGAGUCCCUGGACAACACCUGACACUGAGGCACGAAAGCUAGGGGAGCAAACAGG
rnacentral:rRNA from 1 species